rnacentral:rRNA from 1 species
UACAGAGGUGGCAAGCGUUGUUCGGAAUUACUGGGCGUAAAGGGCGCGUAGGCGGCCAUCUAAGUCAGACGUGAAAUCCCCCGGCUUAACCUGGGAACUGCGUCUGAUACUGGAAGGCUUGAGUAUGGGAGAGGGAUGUAGAAUUCCAGGUGUAGCGGUGAAAUGCGUAGAGAUGCGGAGGAACACCGAUGGCGAAGGCAGCCCCCUGGGCUAGCACUGACGCUCAGGCACGAAAGCGUGGGGAGCAAACAGG